AACGAACGCUGGCGGCAUGCCUAACACAUGCAAGUCGAACGAGAUCUUCGGGUCUAGUGGCGCACGGGUGCGUAACGCGUGGGAAUCUGCCCUUUGGUUCGGAAUAACAGUUGGAAACGACUGCUAAUACCGGAUGAUGACGAAAGUCCAAAGAUUUAUCGCCAGAGGAUGAGCCCGCGUAGGAUUAGCUGGUUGGUGUGGUAAAGGCGCACCAAGGCGACGAUCCUUAGCUGGUCUGAGAGGGUGAUCAGCCACACUGGGACUGAGACACGGCCCAGACUCCUACGGGAGGCAGCAGUGGGGAAUAUUGGACAAUGGGCGAAAGCCCGAUCCAGCAAUGCCGCGUGAGUGAUGAAGGCCUUAGGGUUGUAAAGCUCUUUUACCCGGGAUGAUAAUGACAGUACCGGGAGAAUAAGCUCCGGCUAACUCCGUGCCAGCCGCCGCGGUAA
rnacentral:rRNA from 1 species